rnacentral:pre_miRNA from 11 species
CCGCCCCCCCCCCCUGCCUGCCCAGUGUUCAGACUACCUGUUCAUCCGGCUACAGCUGAACAGUAGUCUGCACAUUGGUUAGGCUGGGCUGGGACACGC